AACGAACGCUGGCGGCAUGCCUAACACAUACAAGUCGAACGAGACCUUCGGGUCUAGUGGCGCACGGGUGCGUAACGCGUGGGAAUCUGCCCUUGGGUGCGGAAUAACAGUUAGAAAUGACUGCUAAUACCGCAUAAUGACUCCGGUCCAAAGAUUUAUCGCCCAAGGAUGAGCCCGCGUCGGAUUAGCUAGUUGGUGAGGUAAAAGCUCACCAAGGCGACGAUCCGUAGCUGGUCUGAGAGGAUGAUCAGCCACACUGGGACCGAGACACGGCCCAGACUCCUACGGGGGGCAGCAGUGGGGAAUAUUGGACAAUGGGCGAAAGCCUGAUCCAGCAAUGCCGCGUGAGUGAUGAGGGCCUUAGGGUUGUAAAGCUCUUUUACCCGGGAUGAUAAUGACAGUACCGGGAGAAUAAGCCCCGGCUAACUCCGUGCCAGCCGCCGCCGUAACAC
rnacentral:rRNA from 1 species